GCAAGAUUAAAACUCAAAGGAAUAGACGGGGACCCGCACAAGCGGUGGAGCAUGUGGUUUAAUUCGACGAUACGCGAAGAACCUUACCUGGCCUUGACAUAGAAAGAACUUUCCAGAGACGGAUUGGUGCUAGUUUACUAGAGCUUUCAUACAGGUGCUGCACGGCUGCCGUCAGCUCGUGUCGUGAGAUGUUGGGUUAAGUCCCGCAACGAGCGCAACCCUCGUGUUUAGUUACUAACAGUUCGGCUGAGGACUCUAGACAGACUGCCUGGGUAACCAGGAGGAAGGUGAGGACGACGUCAAGUCAUCAUGGCCCUUACGGCCAGGGCUACACACGUGCUACAAUGGGGUAUACAAAGAGCCGCAAUACCGCGAGGUGGAGCAAAUCUCAUAAAAUAUCUCCCAGUUCGGAUAGCAGUCUGCAACUCGACUGCUUGAAGUUGGAAUCGCUAGUAAUCGUGAAUCAGCAACGUCACGGUGAAUACGUUCCCGGGUCUUGUACUCACCGCCCGUCACACCAUGGGAAUUGAAUUCAUUCGAAGCGGGGAUGCUAAAAUAGCUACCUUCCACAGUGGAUUUAGUAACUAGGGUGAAGUCGUAACAAGGUA
rnacentral:rRNA from 1 species